GAUGAACGCUAGCGGCAGGCUUAACACAUGCAAGUCGAGGGGCAGCGCGAGGUAGCAAUACUUUGGCGGCGACCGGCGAAAGGGUGCGUAACGCGUGAGCAACUUGCCCGUAUCUGGGACAUAAGCGGUGGAAACGCCGUCUAAUUUCCCAUAACAACAGAGGCCGCAUGACCUUUGUUUGAAAGAUCCGUCGGAUACGGAUGGGCUCGCGAGACAUUAGCUAGUCGGCGUGGUAACGGCACACCGAGGCGACGAUGUCUAGGGGUUCUGAGAGGAAGGUCCCCCACACUGGAACUGAGACACGGUCCAGACUCCUACGGGAGGCAGCAGUGAGGAAUAUUGGUCAAUGGGCGCAAGCCUGAACCAGCCAUGCCGCGUGAAGGAAUAAGGCCCUAUGGGUCGUAAACUUCUUUUGUGGUGGAGCAAUAAGGUGUACGUGUACACCGAUGAGAGUACAUCACGAAUAAGCAUCGGCUAACUCCGUGCCAGCAGCCGCGGUAAUACGGAGGAUGCAAGCGUUAUCCGGAUUUAUUGGGUUUAAAGGGUGCGUAGGCUGUGGGGAAAGUCAGGGGUGAAAGCCCGGCGCUUAACGCCGGAACUGCCUUUGAUACUUCUCCGCUGGAAUACGGAUGCCGUGGGAGGAAUGAGUAGUGUAGCGGUGAAAUGCAUAGAUAUUACUCAGAACACCGAUUGCGAAGGCAUCUCACGAAUCCGUCAUUGACGCUGAGGCACGAAAGCGUGGGGAUCAAACA
rnacentral:rRNA from 1 species